rnacentral:misc_RNA from 1 species
CGUUGGUUAACACUACAUUCAGUACUAGCACAAAAAUUGUAGGCAAAAAAUCUAUAAUUCUUUAUCUUCUUGUUGUAUCUAUACAAAUUCACAAGAUCAAUCUCAUUUUAGCAGGGCUCCUUUGAAUACAGGUAUGGUAUGUAGAAGUUUUAUAGCGAAUUAACAACCUAUAUACUCAAGGGAAAUGUUUGCUUUUAGGCAUAUCCCCAUACUGUGCAUUUGUAACAAGUCUAUUCAGAUGGUCAGAUUCUCUUGAAUGGCAAGAAAUGAACCCACUAUAUUUCCACCCACAUCAGGGAAAGUUUCACAUCCAGGAAUAGGCUUCACUUUACCUUUCCUAUCGACUUCAACUGGGUAUUUUAGUAGGUGCCCUCUCAUCUCUGUAACCUCAUCAGCUCUAUAUUGUCUCCAGUUCAUCUCCCCCAGUGUCCUAAUUCUUCUAACACAUUCAAGACUCUCUGGUUGUGUGAAGCAGUCCUCAAUAGCUCCAACAUGCUCUGCCCAUAGUGACAUCCUAUAUCCAUAUAUCUGUCCAUGUGGAUUAGAAUGUUUUCUUGCCCAGGUAUGAUUAGGCUGAUAUGCUCCCAUUGCAAUUUCAGUGUCUCUUGUGCCCUCCAAUGAACGCUGGUUUAUGUUUGCAGAUCCCAAUAUUACAUACUCAUCAUCCACUAUCAUCCCUUUUGAAUGGACAUAAAUCAUGAAUCGCCGGCUUUUUUGACUGAGUGCCUGGUAAUGUAAACAUUAUAGCAGUCAUUCGCAAGUAUGCAGUGAAAAGAGGAGAGAGCAACAAUUGAUAUAUAUAUAUUCGAUGGUUUUUGUAUGAGCCAAUGAUUCAAUCUCACACAGAAGCAAAUAGGUACCAAAAAUGCAUCCACACUUGAAAAUCAAUUCAUCUAUAAGAAAGAAGCAUCCAAGUGUGAAGUUUUCACUACAUAUUCUCAUGCUUAGAGGAACCCUCCUUGGACUGGGAUGUUUCUCACGUUGGCAGAGCAAGAGCUCCCAAAAUCAUGGUCGAAAGAAAAAAUGUCAGUUUCAGGAAUUAACAUACCUGAGGAGUGUUUGCAGCAGUGGAACUGCUCGAAGUGUCAUUCGUGUCUGUGAACUCACGAUUACCAAGACAGAAGAAGUUCAAAUAAUCCUGAGGUGAGAACACAUUCUCAAGUCCAACCUCCUCUAAAGCCUUCAAAAUUGUCUCAUACAUCAUUUGCAUAGUUUUAUGCUGCCAAAAUAGAAUCCUUUGUGUAGCAGCACCUGUUGGAACACCCUCUGGCCACAUUGGAAUAAUAAUAUAGGCGGCGAAUCUCUCAUUUGCUCUGAUUUUAUCAGCAAUCUUCAGAGCAAUUUCCAUUGGAAUUAAAUUAUUAGCACCUAAAUCUUUAUAUGAACUCCAGUUGAAUGAGGAGCCAAUGAAAUAUUGGUUCUCUAUAUAAAUAAAAUGCUGGGCAGCACGAAUGGCCUUCACAUAGGCUGUAUGUAUGCUCAUGUCAAUAAGGACAUUCUUCCCACACACCAGGUUCUUGCUUGUGGCAUCUUUGGGAUCCUUUGGGAAGCGUUUAACAGAAUUUGAAUCUAUUGAACGAAAAAUCUGAAUAUGCCAAGCUUCAGGAUCAUUCUCACCAACAGAAGGAGCAUCAAAAACUCCUACAAUAUCUGGAAUUCUUUCAAUCCUGAGCAGAGCAUCAUCGUAUGACAUUUUUAGUUUUUUAAUCCCAUGAGGCUUUGCAGCCUUGAACCAGCGCUCCUCAAAGUUGGCUAGAACGUCAUAUGCUGCUGGACCAUCAAUUCUACAGUGCAAAUCAUGCCAUGGCUCCCUAGGGCAACCAGAAACAUUAUUACCUGUGAAAGUGGGGUUGUGAUAGUCGUCCUUAUGCACUGUUUGCAGUGUCCUAAAUAAAGGGUGAUGCGGAGUAUCAUAUCUUCCAUCACAUAAAUCAAGUCCACCAACAAAAGCUAUGAUUUUUCUUCUGUUAUUGCCUGCAUCAGCAUCUACAAUCACAGUUUUCUGAUGGUGCGUAUAUAUGGUUCCAACUUCCCUUUGCUUGACCCAGCUAUGUCUUUUUCCAGCAAUGCGAGGACAGAGAAGCACUUGCACUGAUGAGUUUUUGAAAAAACUGCGCGUUUCCUCAUCAUGGGUUGCCAUGAUUCCAUCUGUUUUAUAUCCAAAGAUACUCCUUGAAGUAGGGUCAUCCCAGACAAGAAGCAGCACUCUUACUCCUUCCUGGGACUUGGACCUCAGCAGAUCCCCCAAUGUGAUAUUUGAUGGAUCACCAGCAUCUCGAAUCAGUUUAACAUUGUGCCAUACUGACCACCCUGUAAUGUAAAUUAAACGCCUGGCAUGUCGUAUCGCAUCAAAGAUGUCACGCCAACAUUUCCCAUGCACAUAAGACAACCCAUGAUCAAGUUUCAAACUUGGCAGACACCCAUCUGGAACAUGGGCAUCUUGAUAAAGAGUCACAGUUCCACCUUUCCUAAGAGGAAAAUAUGUGCCUGGUACUCCUUGAUAAUCAGGACCUGCACCCACGCCUUGAUGGUAAAUGCUCAGUUUCUCCAUCGGGGUGUAUUGAAUU